AUGAAUGGCCACACCGGAGUGGGAGUGCCCAAUAGCGUCUGAUCUCGAAAGCUAAGCAGAGCCGUGCCUGGUUAGUACUUGGAUGGGAGACCAACUUGGAAGACCAGGGGCCACUAUC
rnacentral:rRNA from 12 species